UACGGAGGGGGCUAGCGUUGUUCGGAAUUACUGGGCGUAAAGCGCACGUAGGCGGACCUGUAAGUCAGGGGUGAAAUCCCGGGGCUCAACCCCGGAACUGCCCUUGAGACUGCCGGUCUCGAGGUCGAGAGAGGCGGGUGGAAUUCCGAGUGUAGAGGUGAAAUUCGUAGAUAUUCGGAGGAACACCAGUGGCGAAGGCGGCCCGCUGGCUCGAUGCUGACGCUGAGGUGCGAAAGCGUGGGGAGCAAACAGG
rnacentral:rRNA from 1 species